CGCUGACUUGUCGGCUCCUCCCAUGCCAAAGCUUCCAAACUCACCUACUGUUACCGCUCUGAUCAGGAUAUCAUAUUUUCAGUGAUCAGACUGAAAGGGAAGUUGAAAGAAUCUUUAGCAAACAGACGACUGGACGAGCCAGCAGCAGCAACAAAACCUCCAGCUCACACUUUUGAAGAUCCCAGAGUUUUUUUAAUUGCUUCUCUUUACAAAGUUGUAGUGUGUUUUGUCCUCCCCUUGAACUUCUUCUAAUACCAUGGAAGAGGACCACUGCAGACAAAGCCAGUGCAACAGCCACGGGGCCUGCGUGCCUCCUCCAGAUGCCGAUGCUAAUCUGGUUUGUACAUGUGAUCUGGGCUACCAUGGGGAAUUCUGCGAAACAACAGUCAAUGGGCAUUUGAGUGUACCACUGACCGUAAGCAUAAUUGUGAUCAUCGUCGGGCUGGUGAUCUUCGCUUUUGUCUUCGCUAAGCUGAGGCAGAGGCAAAAGAGGAAUAAGAGAAAACAACUGGCAGCAAAACAAGGCUACAAUGUAUCAGCUUAAUGUGGAUAAAUAUGAAAUAUGUCUAAGGUAAACAAUGUCUUGGAUAAUUUCCACCCCAUCAUGUUCCUGGUUGUUUGAGUGCGACCCUUCCAAACGGAAAGCAGAUAUGCAUUUUUACUCACUGCAACUGACUUUGUGCUGCAACCUCUUAAAGCCACAAACACUGAAUUUACUGAAGCACCUUAACUCAUGAGCCUGUUUGCUUUAUUCAGCUGACACUCUAUGCAAAGAAUGUUUUCUGCAGGACAAAUAUGAGGUUAUGUUGGAUUUUGUUGUUACAAUCGUCACUCUUUGACAUUUCUUUCAUGCAAAGUCUUCCAGCGCAAUUAUGCAAAUGUUCAACCACUUUGUAUGACGAAGCAGGAGCUUUGGGCGGAGGCAUUGAUCUCAUGAGAACCAGCUUGUUGUGUUUAACUGGUGUUAGCAAGGAUUUUUCAAGGUCAUAAGGUUUUGAUAUCUCUUUAAACGAUAUAUAAUUUACCCAUCCCAUAAUUGCAUAGUUUUAUGAUGGAAAUCAUUUAUGUACUGUGUAGUUCACCGCUUUAGUGCUUUUGGUCUGUUUUUUGUUUUUGUUUUUUGUACUGGUAUGUUUUUUUGGUCUGUUUUUUUUUAAAGCUACACAAGGAAAGUUUUAUUACUUUUUAUGUCCUGACACAAAAUACACCAUACCUUACUGACUUUUUUAUACUUAGAAAAAUAUGUGGGUCCAUUUCAUCAUUGUCUAAUGAAGUGUCAUAAUUUUUUUUAAUCCAUUUUAUUUCCUUGAUUAUGCACACAACUGUCCCAUAAUAAUUACAACCCCUACCAAUGCAAGCUAGACUGUAUAGUUUUCUGUCCUUCUGUUUAUGUAAAUCUUUCUUUUUCAUUUGUUAACCAAAUCAUUUGUUUGUGUUUGUUUUGGUCUGUGGAGCAUUUUUUUGGCGUAAGUAUCCAAAAAAUAUUUUUCUCUUUAAGACGUAGUCAUUACUUAUCAGAUAUUUGAGCAAUAUCUUUUUACAGUCUUCCUUGUAAAUAACUAUCUGAUCCAUGUAGUGUCUUAAUUCAUGGAUCAGAUCAUGGCUCUGUCAUGUAAUUUCAUAUAAAAUUAGCUUCAGUUUAAAACCUCUUAAAUGUUUGAGAUGUCUGAAGAAGGCAGAGAGUCAGUUUGGAACCAACUCAAUUCUUAUUAGCCACUGAUUUGACUGUCUGGUUAGAACCUUUAUUUCUAAGAACUAAGGUCCUUCAGAUGGUUGUCUGCUAUAGGUAAGAUGAUGACUGCACUCAAUGUCCCCACAGAACUCUUACGUCAACGAUCUAGGUAAACCCAUUUUAAAGUAGCGUAGUCACUUUAUACACUCUACAGCACCAGUAAAACAAAAAGGUUUGUGUAUAUAAAGAAGACAUUAGAUAUAUGUUAUGUUUGAAAAAUAGCUUUUUCUUGUACAAAACUGAACUAUGAGUGUUAAGCAGAUCAUUUGUAGAUUUCUGCUUUAAUAAUCUGAUUUUGACAAACUACAAGACUCGUUUACAGUCACUAGACACAUUUCUAACCACUGCUGCUGAACAUCUAUUUUGUCACAUUACGGUAAUUACUCCUUAAUUUCUCAGUAGAUAUUCUGGUGAGUUUAAUUUUAUCCAUCUAAAAAUGAAAAAUGCAAUAAACUUUUUAAGUGCUUUUUAUAUACACUUAAACAGUGUAUCUAAAACAAUAUAACACUUGUCUUUUUUUUAUUCUAAUAAAGUCUAUACAACUUUUUCUUUCU